UGAUGGCUGUUCCUCUCACUGCUUUUGAGCCUUAGGUAGUGGGAUUUUAGUCCAUCAUAUAUCAAAGCUGACUUGUCUUCACUCAGGGCACCAUGGGGAUGGGCUGGCCAUCCGUUAGUGUCUUCUGAUUUUUGCGGGAGUCAAACAAUU
ensembl:snoRNA small nucleolar RNA, H/ACA box 79B